rnacentral:rRNA from 1 species
CCCAAAACGGAGGAAAAGAAACCAACACGGGCAUUGCCUCAGUAACGGCGAGUGAAGCGGCAAGAGCUCAAAUUUGAAAGCUGGCUCCUUCGGAGUCCGCAUUGUAAUUUGCAGAGGAUGCUUUGGGUGCGGCCCCCGUCUAAGUGCCCUGGAACGGGCCGUCAGAGAGGGUGAGAAUCCCGUCUUGGGCGGGGUGUCCGUGCCCGUGUAAAGCUCCUUCGACGAGUCGAGUUGUUUGGGAAUGCAGCUCUAAAUGGGUGGUAAAUUUCAUCUAAAGCUAAAUACUGGCCGGAGACCGAUAGCGCACAAGUAGAGUGAUCGAAAGAUGAAAAGCACUUUGAAAAGAGAGUUAAACAGCACGUGAAAUUGUUGAAAGGGAAGCGCUUGCGACCAGACUCGCCCGCGGGGUUCAGCCGGCAUUCGUGCCGGUGUACUUCCCCGUGGGCGGGCCAGCGUCGGUUUGGGCGGCCGGUCAAAGGCCCCUGGAAUGUAGUGCCCUCCGGGGCACCUUAUAGCCAGGGGUGCAAUGCGGCCAGCCUGGACCGAGGAACGCGCUUCGGCACGGACGCUGGCAUAGAYGAGWCGUGAAACGACCCGUCUAA